rnacentral:rRNA from 1 species
UACGUAGGGGGCUAGCGUUGUCCGGAAUCAUUGGGCGUAAAGCGCGCGUAGGCGGCCCGGUAAGUCCGCUGUGAAAGUCAAAGGCUCAACCUUUGAAUGUCAGCGGAUACUGCCGGGCUAGAGUCCGGAAGAGGCGAGUGGAAUUCCUGGUGUAGCGGUGGAAUGCGCAGAUAUCAGGAGGAACACCAACGGCGAAGGCAGCUCGCUGGGACGGUACUGACGCUGAGGCGCGAAAGCGUGGGAGCGAACAGG